CCCUCCCCUUCGCGGUCUCAGCACUCAGUGGCGCGCUCGGCGGCCCUGCUACCCCCUGGCCUCCUGUCGCCGUGUCUCCGUGCCUCUGCUUUAUUGACCCCAGCUCGCUGAAACAGAGAGUGAAUUAUAAUGACACACUGUCAAAUGUUGCACCAUCCUUGGAUUCCUGAGAUAACCCUACUCAGUUAAUGACAUUUUCGGGCUUCCCUGGCGGCGCAGUGGUUGAGAAUCUGCCU